rnacentral:rRNA from 1 species
UACGUAGGGGGCGAGCGUUGUCCGGAAUUAUUGGGCGUAAAGAGCUCGUAGGCGGCCUGUUGCGUCCGCUGUGAAAGCCCGGGGCUUAACCCCGGGUCGGCAGUGGAUACGGGCAGGCUAGAGGUAGGUAGGGGAGAAUGGAAUUCCCGGUGUAGCGGUGAAAUGCGCAGAUAUCGGGAGGAACACCGGUGGCGAAGGCGGUUCUCUGGGCCUUACCUGACGCUGAGGAGCGAAAGCGUGGGGGAGCGAACAGG